rnacentral:rRNA from 1 species
UGGGGAAUCUUGGACAAUGGGGGCAACCCUGAUCCAGCGAUGCCGCGUGAGCGAAGAAGGCCUUAGGGUUGUAAAGCUCUUUCGCCCGCGACGAUGAUGACGGUAGCGGGAGAAGAAGCCCCGGCUAACUCCGUGCCAGCAGCCGCGGUAAUACGGAGGGGGCUAGCGUUGUCCGGAAUUACUGGGCGUAAAGCGCGCGUAGGCGGUCCACCAAGUCGGGGGUGAAAGCCCGGGGCUCAACCCCGGAAUGUCCUCCGAGACUGUUGGACUGGAGUUCGGGAGAGGAGAGCGUAAUUCCCAGUGUAGAGGUGAAAUUCGUAGAUAUUGGGAAGAACACCGGUGGCGAAGGCGGCUCUCUGGCCCGCAACUGACGCUGAGGCGCGAAAGCGUGGGGAGCAAACA